AUUGAACGCUGGCGGCAGGCCUAACACAUGCAAGUCGAGCGGAGCGGCGGACGGGUGAGUAAUGCCUAGGACUCUGCCUGGUAGUGGGGGAUAACGUCCGGAAACGGGCGCUAAUAUCGCAUACUAUCAGAUGAGCCUAGGUCGGUUUAGCGAGUUGGUGGGGUAAAGGCCUACCAAGGCGACGAUCCGUAACUGGUCUGAGAGGAUGAUCAGUCAAACUGGAACUUAGACACGGUCCAGAUUCCUACGGGAGGCAGCAGUGGGGAAUAUUGGACAAUGGGCGAAAGCCUCAUCCAGCCAUGCCGCGGUUGUGAAGAAGGUCUGCGGAUUGUAAAGCACUUUAAGUUGGGAGGCGUUACCAACAGAAUAAGCACCGGCUAACUUCGUGCCAGCCGCAGCGGUAAUUC
rnacentral:rRNA from 1 species